AAAAAAAAAAACUCUACGUUUCCGUGUCCAAUAUUUAACCGUCCGUCUUAUUUAAAAAAAAUAUAAAAAAAUUAAAAAGACAAGUCACGCAUAAAGUAUUAAUCAUGUUUUAUCAUCUAACAACAAUGAAAAUACUGAUUAUAAAAAAAAAUUUAUAUAAGACGGACAGUCAAACGUUGGACACGGAAACUCAGGGUUUGUCUUUUU
rfam:Oryza glaberrima chromosome 9 Oglab09_0169_14, whole genome shotgun sequence.